rnacentral:tRNA from 1 species
GGAGAGAUGGCUGAGCGGUCGAAAGCGGCGGUCUUGAAAACCGUUAGGUGAGCAAUCGCCUCCUGGGUUCGAAUCCCAGUCUCUCCGCCA